GAUAACUGUGGUAAUUCUAGAGCUAAUACAUGCAACUAUGCCCAACCCUAUUCAAAAAGGGAAGGGUGCACUUAUUAGAUCAAAACCAACCGGGCUUCGGCUCGAAGUUUUGAUGACUCUGGAUAAUUGUUUCGAUCGCACGGCCUUUGCGUCGGCGACGUAUCUUUCAAAUGUCUGCCCUAUCACACUAUAGAUGGUAGACAAAUUGUCUACCAUGGUUGUAACGGGUAACGGGGAAUCAGGGUUCGAUUCCGGAGAGGGAGCCUGAGAAAUAGCUACCACAUCCAAGGAAGGCAGCAGGCGCGCAAAUUACCCACUCUCAAAACGAGGAGGUAGUGACAAAAAAUAACGAUGCGGGACUCAAUCGAGGCCCCGUAAUCGGAAUGAGAACACUUUAAAUCCUUUAACGAGGAUCAAUUGGAGGGCAAGUCUGGUGCCAGCAGCCGCGGUAAUUCCAGCUCCAAUAGCGUAUAUUAAAGUUGUUGCAGUUAAAAAGCUCGUAGUUGGAUCUAAGGAUUUGGACGGAUGGUACACCUUUGGGUGUUUUACUGUCUGUCUGGCCUAUAUUAGUCGUGGAAGCUUUAGGUGCUCUUCAUUGAGUGUCUUUAGUGCCCGGCAAUAUUACUUUGAGAAAAUUAGAGUGUUUAAAGCAGGCAUAAUGCUUGCAUACUGUUGCAUGGAAUAAUAAAAUAGGAGUUUGCUUCUAUUUUGUUGGUAUUCGGAAGUGAACUAAUGAUUAACAGGAACAGACAGGGGCAUUUGUAUGGAGGCGCUAGAGGUGAAAUUCUGUGACCGUCUCCAGACAAACUACUGCGAAAGCAUUUGCCAGGAAUGUUUUCAUUAAUCAAGAACGAAAGUCAGAGGUUCGAAGACGAUCAGAUACCGUCCUAGUUCUGACCAUAAAUGAUGCCAUCUAGCAAUUCUCGAAGUUUGCUAGUACGAACUCGAGAGCGGCCCCCGGGAAACCAAAGACUUUGGGUUCCGGGGGAAGUAUGGUUGCAAAGCUGAAACUUAAAGGAAUUGACGGAAGGGCACCACCAGGAGUGGAGCCUGCGGCUUAAUUUGACUCAACACGGGAAACCUCACCCGGCCCGGACACUGUAAUGAUUGACAGAUUAACAGCUCUUUCUUGAUCUGGUGGUUGGUGGUGCAUGGCCGUUCUUAGUUGGUGGAGCGAUUUGUCUGGUUAAUUCCGAUAACGAACGAGACUCUACCCUGCUAAAUAGGACGGAGAUAUAAAACUAAAAAAUUAUGUCCUUGAUGACUUCUUAGAGGGACUAACGACGUUUAGUCGUGUGAGAAAGAGCAAUAACAGGUCUGUGAUGCCCUUAGAUGUUCGGGGCCGCACGCGCGCUACACUAACUACAGCAACGGGUAUUUCUCCUGGUUAGAAAUAAUUGGGUAACCCGCUUGAAUUGCAGUUGUGACAGGGAUCGAGAUUUGCAAUUAUCUCUCGUGAACGAGGAAUUCCCAGUAAGCGCAAGUCAUUAGCUUGCGCUGAUUACGUCCCUGCCCUUUGUACACACCGCCCGUCGCUACUACCGAUUGAACGGUUUAGUGAGGUCCUUGGAUUGACUUACAUUUAAGAGAG
rnacentral:rRNA from 1 species